rnacentral:rRNA from 1 species
CCUACGGGAGGCUGCAGUGGGGAAUAUUGCACAAUGGGCGCAAGCCUGGUGCAGCCAUGCCGCGUGUGUGAAGAAGGCCUUCGGGUUGUAAAGCACUUUCAGCGGGGAGGAAGGCGUUAAGGUUAAUAACCUUGUCGAUUGACGUUACCCGCAGAAGAAGCACCGGCUAACUCCGUGCCAGCAGCCGCGGUAAUACGGAGGGUGCAAGCGUUAAUCGGAAUUACUGGGCGUAAAGCGCACGCAGGCGGGCUGUCAAGUCGGAUGUGAAAUCCCCGGGCUCAACCUGGGAACUGCAUUCGAAACUGGCAGGCUAGAGUCUUGUAGAGGGGGGUAGAAUUCCAGGUGUACCGGUGAAAUGCGUAGAGAUCUGGAGGAAUACCGGUGGCGAAGGCGGCCCCCUGGACAAAGACUGACGCUCAGGUGCGAAAGCGUGGGGAGCAAACAGGAUUAGAUACCCGAGUAGUC